ACAGAGGGGGCAAGCGUUAUUCGGAAUUAUUGGGCGUAAAGGGCGCGUAGGCGGCCUGUUAAGUCAGUCGUGAAAGCCCGGGGCUCAACCCCGGAGGGUCGACUGAUACUGGCAAGCUAGAGUACGGAAGAGGUAGCUGGAAUUCCCGGUGUAGCGGUGAAAUGCGUAGAUAUCUGGAGGAACACCGGUGGCGAAGGCGGCGUUCUGGACUGCUACUGACACUGAGGAACGAAGGCCAGGGGAGCAAACGGGA
rnacentral:rRNA from 1 species